GCCAGGCGCGGGGGCGCAUGCCUGUAGUCCCAUCUACUUGGGAGGCUGAGGUGGGAGGAUCACUUGAGUCCAGGAGUUCUGGGCUGUAGUGCGCUAUGCUGACUGGGUGUCCGCACUGUUCGGCAUCAAUAUGGUAACCUCCUGGGAGUGGGGGACCACCAGGUUGCCUAAGGAGGGGUGAACCGGCCCAGGUCGGAAACGGAACAGGUCAAAACUCCUGUGCUGAUCAGUAGUGGGAUCGCGCCUGUGAAUAGCCACUGCACUCCAGCCUGGGCAACAUAGCGAGACCCCGUCUCU
rnacentral:SRP_RNA from 1 species